rnacentral:misc_RNA from 1 species
AAGUGCGAUAAGCAAUGCGAAUUGCAGAAUUCCGCGAGUCAUCAGAUCUUUGAACGCAAAUGGCGCCGGAGGGAUAUCCUUCUGGCAUGUCUGUUUCAGUGUCUGAGAGGUUUCACCAACAUCUUAAUGUGAUUGACAGCAGCAGCAGCAGCAAGCAAUUGUUGUGGUUGGUGUUGUCUCUCAUGAAAGAUGCGCGAGUGGAUCUUUCGGUCCAAUGAAGUGGUCACAUCACUCGUAUGUGAUUUCAUUGGGAGCACCGAAUUAUCCGCCAUGCUCGCGGUGUCAUCAUAUAAUAUAUGACGAAAGCAAGAAAGAAAGAAAGAAAGAGUUUCUUUCUUCUUCUUCUUCUUCUUUGGUUGUAUUUUUUUCUCUCUCUACACCCUGCAUCUGAGAUAGGCAAGAUCACCCGCUGAACUUAAGC